CUAUGCCUGCCUUGCUUGUAGGUGCAUAGAGCUGUCGCGAACAAAACGGCGACGGCAAUUUCAUGACGUGCUAGGAAGUACUGCUGUUACAAUCGCAAAACUAGUCUUGUACUACCAUUGAGCAUCAGGCAUUCUGCAUAUAUAAUGAUGAAAGCAGGCAUUUUUAUAGCAUGGAACGUCUUCGGACUCUGUCUAACUAUGUUUGAUGUAUGUACAGUUAAUGGAGACAAUACCACUCAAACGCAAGAGCUCGACGCUUUCCAGCUGUUUGCUUUGUUUCCGAUGCGGCAGGAGUGAAAGAUGUGAACCGAGAACCCCUGUUUAACUGCUUAAGAGCAAACCGUACAGAAUUUGACUACCAAGCGCCUUCUGCUACUUACCUUUGGUCGCUGAAUGCAGGUGAGGGAAAGCCAAGGAAUUAUGUCCCAGUGCAUUAUACAGCAGGCAAGACCCCCAGCACAUUUUUCACAUCAUUCAACUCGG